AAUAAAUUUAAAUAUUAAUAUAUAAUUUAGAAAUAUUUUUUGGGGUUAAAUUGAGGGAAUCUAUUACAAUUUUCAAACUUCAGGGGAGGUAAUUAUAAUUUCUUAAACGUCAAGGUUUCUUUGUAUAUUAAUCCAUAACUUCAGGAGAGGUCAGUGUAAUUUACCCAAAUAAAAUUAUUCAUGCCCUUGGUUCAUCUUCCCCAAUUGAUUGUUAAGCCUAGAGAGAGAUGUCCGGUCUUUCACAGCCAAAAACGCCUUUCUUCUUCCCCCAGCACGAGGGCACAACGGUCUUUUACCACCACGCGGAGUGCCG
rnacentral:lncRNA from 1 species